AGCCUGAUUGCUGGAUCAUAUGGUAAGAGAUUGUUUAGUUUGGAAUAAACUCCCAAACUGCUUUCCAAAGUGGCUGUACCAUUUUGCAUUCCCACCAGCAAU
rnacentral:pre_miRNA from 1 species